rnacentral:rRNA from 1 species
UAGGGAAUUUUCCGCAAUGGGCGAAAGCCUGACGGAGCAACGCCGCGUGAGUGAGGACGGCCUUCGGGUUGUAAAAACUCUGUUCUUGAGGAAGAAUUCCUUCCAGGCGAACAGCCUGGAAGGUUGACGGUACUCAAGGAGAAAGCCCCGGCUAACUUCGUGCCAGCAGCCGCGGUAAUACGAAGGGUGCAAGCGUUAAUCGGAAUUACUGGGCGUAAAGCGCGCGUAGGUGGUUUGUUAAGUUGGAUGUGAAAGCCCCGGGCUCAACCUGGGAACUGCAUCCAAAACUGGCAAGCUAGAGUAUGGCAGAGGGUGGUGGAAUUUCCUGUGUAGCGGUGAAAUGCGUAGAUAUAGGAAGGAACACCAGUGGCGAAGGCGACCACCUGGGCUAAUACUGACACUGAGGUGCGAAAGCGUGGGGAGCAAACAGGAUUAGAUACCC